GGAGAAUUUCAGCCAAAGAACCAAUCAUAUGUAAAGCACCAUCUUUCUUUCGAGGAUCAGCAUUUGGCUCCGUAAGGAUCUGAUAGCAAAAGCCCAUUGUCUUCUGCAGGACCUAGAAUAUAUGGCCAGCACACAGAAUUAAUUGGGUUAAAAAAUGCUCCAUUUCUCUGCAGAAGAGGAUUAUCAGAGCCUUGUGUAACAUCUGUAGUGUUUAUAGGUAUGCCUCUGACCUGAAGGAUAAAAACUCCCAAACCCCUCAAGAUUCCUUGUUCUAGCCAUAUAAACAUUCCUAGUGAAGGGAAGAAUUUGUUCAGGGAGUCUGAAGGUUCUUUUUUUUUUUUUUGUUCCCAGCAUCAGAGGACUGCACAGACUUAGAAUAAACCCCAACAUAAAGUAGCAGAGCACAGGAGGUGAAAUGGGACAAGUCUGGAAUGCCAGGCUUACUCCAUAAUGUGUCAUUUACCAGUUGGGUAAAUCUGCUCUGAACUGUGCCAUGGGUGAAAUUCCCUAAGAAAUCCAGGGCCUGAAAUAUUAGCUGUUUAUGGCAUAACUUUUAAAUGACAUUGAAUUUAUGUAGUUGUAGCUAGCAAGACCAAGACUGUUUGACUUGCAGUAGUCUGUAACUGUAAAAAUGAAAUACCUUCGCAAGUGCACAAACUCCUGUGUCAUUGCUGACUAUUGUAUCCUCUCUCCUUUUCACCAAUAUGUCCAACUUCUAUUAUUUGAUUAAUACACUGUGUUUCUCUGGGGUUUUUUUCUUUAAAAAUUAAAGCCAUCUCAGUUUUCACAAAAACACCCCAUAAAAUCCCAUCCUUUGCAUGAAAUAAUUUUUUAACAUGAGCAAAUUUCAAAUGCUCACCAAAUUUCAUGCGGAUAUAUUCAUAUGGAUCUUCUUGCCAAAGCUCUUCAUCAGCAUCUGUAUAGCACAUCAAUGGGAAAA